rnacentral:rRNA from 1 species
AAUCAACGCUGGCGGCGUGCCUAACACAUGCAAGUCGAACGCGAAAGCCCCGCAAGGGGUAAGUAGAGUGGCAAACGGGUGAGUAACACGUGGGUGACCUGCCUUCGAGUGGGGGAUAACGUCCCGAAAGGGACGCUAAUACCGCAUGACAUCCUGCUUUUGAAGAAGCGGAGAUCAAAGCUGGGGAUCGCAAGACCUAGCGCUUGAAGAGGGGCCCGCGCCUGAUUAGCUAGUUGGUGAGGUAACGGCUCACCAAGGCGACGAUCAGUAUCCGGCCUGAGAGGGCGGACGGACACACUGGGACUGAGACACGGCCCAGACUCCUACGGGAGGCAGCAGUGGGGAAUUGUUCGCAAUGGGCGCAAGCCUGACGACGCAACGCCGCGUGGAGGACGAAGAUCUUCGGGUCGUAAACUCCUGUCGAGCGGGACGAACGCUUCGCGGAUGAAUAAUCCGCGGAAUUGACGGUACCGCUAAAGGAAGCCCCGGCUAACUCCGUG